AAACAAAAUAGUUUUCUCUCUCCUCUCUCUUAUUUUAUUUAUUUUCUUCAAUUAUCUAUUUUUUAGGAUAAUUAUUUAUUUUUCGUAUGAUGUUAUUUUACUUUUCCAUAUCAAUUGUUUAUUUUAUUUUAUUCUAUUUUAUUUGCUGCAUUUAUUUUAUUUUUUGAUUUUAUUUUCUUUUCUUUAAUUUUUCAUAACUUUUUACGGAUGAUUACUUUAGAAAUAUAAUGGAGUAUUAAAGUAUCUGCAUUAGUUUUAUUUUAAAAUUUUGUUUAUUU
rnacentral:lncRNA from 1 species